AUAAUGGGUAGAAAAUAAUUUGCUUGUGAAUUGAGCCAACGAAAUUAACCUUCUCUCUUCCUUAUUCUUCGUGCGCUGUUCUUCAUUUUCUCCUCUUUUUCCAGUCAUUUUCGGGUGCGGAACUGUUGAUAAAAACCUUCUCGGGUCUCCGUUCAAGCCAGCUGGGGAGAGAGGGGCAUUAGCUCCGCUGUGUGUUCCAUUUGCUUGGCUCGGCUUGGCUCAAUCGCAGCCCUGUGCCCAAGCUACAAAUCUGCGAGGAGGCCUUUGAUUUGAUUAGAGGAGGGAGAAAAGGGAAGGAAUGGAGGGGGAAGGAAAGUGAGGGAUUUCAUCAUCAGAGGAGCGUGUCAUCAGUGCGAGAGGAGUUGUUGUCAAUGUCCAGCCUCCAGGCCUCGAAUAGAUCAGCAAUGGCUGCUAAUCCUAGCUUUCUGCACCCUCAGAAUGGCUAAACCAGCGCCAAUUAGCUAAUGCAUCAUUUUGUGUAUAUGGACUGAAAUCAAAUGCAAAAAGAAAGAAAAAUGGCAGAUUCAAUUGCUUAAAAAUGUCCUUAUAAUUUUAGAAUGUAGACUUGGUAAAUGCAUGCAAAAAUGUGAUUUUAAUGAUUUUACCGUUUUGAACUUUUGACACUAGAUCCUAGUAUCCUACAGUGACUCCAGCCCUGAAUGAGAGUGUUUGUAAACAAGGCGGGUGAUCUUAGGAUCAUAAACUCGCAAACUCGUAUGAUUUUAGGUGUUAAACGUACAUUCUUAACAAUAGUGGUUGUUGAAAUUUCUUUUAUAUGAUUUUUAUGUAAUGGAUUGAAAAUAUAUGGAAGACGGAAUGAUUGUUAUUCAAA